AUUGAACGCUGGCGGCAGGCCUAACACAUGCAAGUCGAACGGUAGCACAGAGAGCUUGCUCUCGGGUGACGAGUGGCGGACGGGUGAGUAAUGUCUGGGAAACUGCCCGAUGGAGGGGGAUAACUACUGGAAACGGUAGCUAAUACCGCAUAACGUCGCAAGACCAAAGUGGGGGACCUUCGGGCCGCACACCAUCGGAUGUGCCCAUAUGGGAUUAGCUAGUAGGUGGGGUAAUGGCUCACCUAGGCGACGAUCCCUAGCUGGUCUGAGAGGAUGACCAGCCACACUGGAACUGAGACACGGUCCAGACUCCUACGGGAGGCAGCAGUUGGGAAUAUUGCACAAUGGGCGCAAGCCUGAUGCAGCCAUGCCGCGUGUAUGAAGAAGGCCUUCGGGUUGUAAAGUACUUUCAGCGGGGAGGAAGGCGGUGAAGUUAAUAACUUCACCGAUUGACGUUACCCGCAGAAGAAGCACCGGCUAACUCCGUGCCAGCCGCCGCAGUAA
rnacentral:rRNA from 1 species